rnacentral:lncRNA from 1 species
UGUAUAGAAAGGAAUUAAUCCGUUCUGUAGGAAUUUGUUUAUGGUAUUCAAUCUGGGUUUAAGAUUAUAAAACAAGUGGAUGAUAACUCUAAUCCCUCUGGCUAUAAAUCACAAAGCAAUUCUUCACAAUAAGGGGAGAUAACACGCAAAAGAGAAAACCAAAAAAAACAUACACACAAAAAACCCCUCAGAUAAAUCAGAACCCAAAGGACUAUCCAACAGUCUCUGUUUACACAAAAUCAAAAAAUCAGCGGCAAGAAAGGAGAAGGAGGAGACAGAGAACGAAGCAUAAGACAGAGGAAAACAGGAGCUUUUUACACCAGAGGAUCACUGCAUUCCAAGUAGAUACUCUUUUACCCUUUUUACCUUUGAGUUUUUUGUUGCUGAUUAUGUGUGUAUUUGUGUAAUUUUGUCUGAUUUUUGGAUUAAUAAUAGAGUGGUGUAUAGAAAGGAAUUAAUCCGUUCGGUAGGAAUUUGUUUAUGGUAUUCAAUCUGGGUUUAAGAUUAUAAAACAAGUGGCUUA